CCUGUAAAAAACAAUAGAAGAUGACUCAAUUCCUAGCCAAGAAGAUGCAAGUUCACCUUCAACAACAUUUGCAACGUGAAAUGCUUGACAACCCAAGACUAGUUAAAUUAUUGUAAGUUUGCCACACCAUUUUGUUAUACAUCCUUCAUUUUUUGGUAUGUAGGGAAGUAAGACAAAAUGAACAAAAGAAAAAGAGACAACAAAAGAAAGACAAAAUGGAGGCGGGAUGCUCCAAACCAUUUCAGCAUCCAGACUACUUCUAACUCGGCCAGGAAAUCAGCACUAUAAUAUGCUUCAUGCGGAAUAUGGAUCUCAUAGCACACCAUUCAGGGUAUAAAUUCCAAAUAGCAGUCAACAAGCUACAUUUCCUAUAGUAAAGAAGUUACUAGAGCAAGGCACAUUCAGGUAUUACUUUGCAAACACACCCUAUGGUAAAGUCCAUAGAACAUACUUUGGUAACAGGAAUAACAAGAAACAACAGAGCAAGAAAGCAUGAAUAAAAAAGAAGAAAUUGGAAAUUCUCCCAACUGAGGAAGGUUCACCAAGACAUCACUUUGUUGGAAUACAAAUUAUGUCAACCUUUGCUGGAGUAAAAAGAGAUAGGUCUUACCUGUGAUCUGAAUUUUGUCUCCAGGCUUUGAAUUACACAAAAAAUUGCUACAUAUGCCAUUCUUGGAAGGAUCUUCCUUUCCUGUCUCAGGAUCAUAAUAAACAGCACGACGCACACACAAGCUGGCAGUUUUUCCAUCAAAAAAGUCUCCAUACCUUGUAGAAGCAAUUGAAUAUAGUCGAACAUUAUGAGGAGCCCCAGGUUUCUUUGGAUUUUCACCCUGCAACCCAUGUAAAGUAGUAUUUACAAGUUGUGAAAUCAUUUCAGAAUUUUAACUGUGUUAACUCCUGCAUCUGAUCCCACAAAAAAAAAAAAAAGAGGAAAAAUACUUUCUACGUGAAUUAAUAAGCUCGAAAG